rnacentral:rRNA from 1 species
GCCAGACUCCUACGGGAGGCAGCAGUGGGGGAUAUUGCACAAUGGGGGAAACCCUGAUGCAGCGACGCCGCGUGGGCGAAGAAGUAUUUCGGUAUGUAAAGCCCUAUCAGCAGGGAAGAAGAAAUGACGGUACCUGAGUAAGAAGCACCGGCUAAAUACGUGCCAGCAGCCGCGGUAAUACGUAUGGUGCAAGCGUUAUCCGGAUUUACUGGGUGUAAAGGGAGCGCAGGCGGCGCGUUAAGCCUGGUGUGAAAGCCCGCGGCCCAACCGCGGGACUGCUCUUGGAACUGCAUGGCUGGAGUACAGGAGGGGCAGGCGGAAUUCCUAGUGUAGCGGUGAAAUGCGUAGAUAUUAGGAGGAACACCGGUGGCGAAGGCGGCCUGCUGGACUGUGACUGACGUUGAGGCCCGAAGGCGUGGGGAGCAAACAGGAUUAGAUACCCUCGUA